rnacentral:rRNA from 1 species
CCUACGGGAGGCUGCAGUGGGGAAUAUUGGUCAAUGGGGGCAACCCUGAUCCAGCCAUGCCGCGUGUGUGAAGAAGGCCCUCGGGUUGUAAAGCACUUUCAGUGAGGAAGAACGCCUGGUGGUUAAUACCCAUCAGGAAAGACAUCACUCACAGAAGAAGCACCGGCUAACUCCGUGCCAGCAGCCGCGGUAAUACGGAGGGUGCGAGCGUUAAUCGGAAUUACUGGGCGUAAAGCGCGCGUAGGUGGCUUGAUAAGCCGGUUGUGAAAGCCCCGGGCUCAACCUGGGAACGGCAUCCGGAACUGUCAAGCUAGAGUGCAGGAGAGGAAGGUAGAAUUCCUGGUGUAGCGGUGAAAUGCGUAGAGAUCGGGAGGAAUACCAGUGGCGAAGGCGGCCUUCUGGACUGACACUGACACUGAGGUGCGAAAGCGUGGGUAGCAAACAGGAUUAGAUACCCUGGUAGUC